rnacentral:rRNA from 1 species
UACGUAGGGUGCGAGCGUUGUCCGGAAUUACUGGGCGUAAAGAGCUCGUAGGUGGUUUGUCGCGUUGUUCGUGAAAACUCACAGCUCAACUGUGGGCGUGCGGGCGAUACGGGCAGACUGGAGUACUGCAGGGGAGACUGGAAUUCCUGGUGUAGCGGUGAAAUGCGCAGAUAUCAGGAGGAACACCGAUGGCGAAGGCGGUUCUCUGGGAAUAUCCUGACGCUGAGGAGCGAAAGUGUGGGGAUCGAACAGG